GACGAACGCUGGCGGCGCGCUUAACACAUGCAAGUCGAACGGAAAGGACCUGCUUUUGUGGGGUGCUCGAGUGGCGAACGGGUGAGUAACACGUGAGUAACCUGCCCCUGACUUUGGGAUAACUUCAGGAAACUGGGGCUAAUACCGGAUAGGAGCUCCUGCUGCCAGGUGGGGGUUGGAAAGUUUCGGCGGUUGGGGAUGGACUCGCGGCUUAUCAGCUUGUUGGUGGGGUAGUGGCUUACCAAGGCCUUGACGGGUAGCCGGCCUGAGAGGGUGACCGGCCACGUUGGGACUGGAAUACGGCCCAGACUCCUACGGGAGGCAGCAGUGGGGAAUAUUGCACAGUGGGCGGAAGCCUGAUGCAGCAACGCCGCGUGCGGGAUGACGGCCUUCGUGUUGUAAUCCGCUUUCGCCUGUGACGAAGCGUGAGUGACGGUAAUGGGUAAAGAAGCACCGGCUAACUACGUG
rnacentral:rRNA from 1 species